GGUGGUGCUGAUGUGGACUGUGGAAACACCUGUUCCCAUUCCGAAUACAGUAGUUAAGCACAAUCCAGUCGAUGAUACUGGUCUUAUUAAGACUGGGAAAGUAGAUUAGCGCUACCA
rnacentral:rRNA from 1 species